rnacentral:rRNA from 1 species
CCUACGGGAGGCAGCAGUGAGGAAUAUUGGUCAAUGGUCGGGAGACUGAACCAGCCAAGCCGCGUGAGGGAUGAAGGUACAGAGUAUCGUAAACCUCUUUUGUCAGGGAACAAAGGCCGGGACGUGUCCCCGGAUGAGUGUACCUGAAGAAAAAGCAUCGGCUAACUCCGUGCCAGCAGCCGCGGUAAUACGGAGGAUUCGAGCGUUAUCCGGAUUUAUUGGGUUUAAAGGGGGCGGAGGCGGUCUGUUAAGUCAGCGGGGAAAGGCCGGGGCUCAACCGCAGACCCGCGGUUGAAACUGGCAGUCUUGAGUGGGAGAGAAGUAUGCGGAAUGCGCGGUGUAGCGGUGAAAUGCAUAGAUAUCGCGCAGAACUCCGAUUGCGAAGGCAGCAUGCCGGCUCCACACUGACGCUGAGGCACGAAAGCGUGGGUAUCGAACAGGAUUAGAUACCCGUGUAGUC